UAUGGNUCAACCAUAGUGUGCUCUGGAAACUNUCUGACUUGAGUGCAGAAGGGGAGAGUGGAAUUCCAUGUGUAGCGGUGAAAUGCGUAGAUAUAUGGAGGAACACCAGUGGCGAAAGCGGCUCUCUGGUCUGUCACUGACGCUGAGGCUCGAAAGCGUGGGUAGCGAACAGGAUUAGAUACCCUGGUAGUCCACGCCGUAAACGAUGAGUGCUAGGUGUUAGGCCCUUUCCGGGGCUUAGUGCCGGAGCUAACGCAAUAAGCACUCCGCCUGGGGAGUACGACCGCAAGGUUGAAACUCAAAGGAAUUGACGGGGGCCCGCACAAGCGGUGGAGCAUGUGGUUUAAUUCGAAGCAACGCGAAGAACCUUACCAGGUCUUGACAUCCCGAUGCUAUUCUUAGAGACAGGAAGUUACUUCGGUACAUCGGAGACAGGUGGUGCAUGGUUGUCGUCAGCUCGUGUCAUGAGAUGUUGGGUUAAGUCCCGCAACGAGCGCAACCCUUAUUGUUAGUUGCCAUCAUUAAGUUGGGCACUCUAGCGAGACUGCCGGUAAUAGACCGGAGGAAGGUGGGGAUGACGUCAAAUCAUCAUGCCCCUUAUGACCUGGGCUACACACGUGCUACAAUGGUCGGUACAACGAGUUGCGAGCCGGUGACGGCAAGCUAAUCUCUGAAAGCCGAUCUCAGUUCGGAUUGGAGGCUGCAACUCGCCUCCAUGAAGUUGGAAUCGCUAGUAAUCGCGGAUCAGCACGCCGCGGUGAAUACGUUCCCGGGCCUUGUACACACCGCCC
rnacentral:rRNA from 1 species